UACGAAGGGUGCAAGCGUUAAUCGGAAUUACUGGGCGUAAAGCGCGCGUAGGUGGCUUGAUAAGUUGGAUGUGAAAUCCCCGGGCUCAACCUGGGAACUGCAUCCAAAACUGUCUGGCUAGAGUGCGGUAGAGGGUAGUGGAAUUUCCAGUGUAGCGGUGAAAUGCGUAGAUAUUGGAAGGAACACCAGUGGCGAAGGCGACUACCUGGACUGACACUGACACUGAGGUG
rnacentral:rRNA from 1 species